rnacentral:tRNA from 1 species
UGGCUCAGAUGGUAAAGAACCUGCCUGAAAUGCAGGAGACCUAGGUUCAAUCCCUAG